rnacentral:tRNA from 1 species
GGUAAUGUGGCUUAGUGGUAGAGGACUUGCUUAGCAUGCAUGAAGCCCUGGGUUCGAUUCCUUAGUACCA